GCCUACGGGGCGCAGCAGUGGGGGAUAUUGCACAAUGGGGGGAACCCUGAUGCAGCGACGCCGCGUGGGUGAAGAAGCGCCUCGGCGCGUAAAGCCCUGUCAGCAGGGAAGAAAAUGACGGUACCUGAAGAAGAAGCCCCGGCUAACUACGUGCCAGCAGCCGCGGUAAUACGUAGGGGGCAAGCGUUAUCCGGAUUUACUGGGUGUAAAGGGGGCGCAGACGGCGAUGCAAGCAAGGAGUGAAAGCCCGGGGCCCAACCCAGGGCCUGCUCUUGGAACUGCGUGGGUGGAGUGCAGGAGGGGCG
rnacentral:rRNA from 1 species